AAUACAUUUUGGUCAAUCCACCCUGCUCCUCCCUGCCUCCCUGCUUUUUGGGGUCCUCCAACUACCACCCCGCAAAACGUGACAGAAACGAGGCACUGCAUAACACCUGACCAAUACUAUCCCUACGGUCAGGUAUGGUGGGGAUGUUUUUCAAUGGUAGGAAUUGAGAGACAAGCCAGGAUUGAGGGAAAGAUGAAUGCAACAAUGUACAGAGACAUCCCGGAUAAAAACCUGCUCCAGAGUGUUCAGGACCUCAGACUGGGGCGAAGGUUUAACUUUCAACAGGACAAUGACCCUAAGCACAGAGCCAAGACAACAGCGGAUUGGCUUUAUGGCAAAUCUAUGAAUGUCCUUGAGUGGCCCAACCUAAGGCCAGACUUGAAUCCGAUUAAACAUCUCUAUAGAGAUCUGAAAAUGGCUGUGCACUGAUGCAUCACAUCCAACCUGAUGCAGUUUGAGAGGUCCUGCAAAGAGGAAUGGGCAAAACUGACCAAAGCUACAGUUGGUGUGCCGAGCUUAUGGAAUUAUAUUCAAAAAGACUUGAGGCUGUCAUUACUGCCAAGGGUGGAUUAACAAAGUAUUGACAAAGACUUUGAAUACUUACAGUGUGUACAGGUGAUGUCUUAGUUUUUUUUUUUUUGGUUUGUUUUUCGACUUUCCAAUUUAAGGGAAGCUAAACUUUAUCACAACUGCUGCAUCCAGAACAAACCUCACAGCAGAUCCAAUCUGAUCAUUCCCAGAGAACGUCAGGUUAAGUUAAAAAAAUAAAAAAUAAAUUGGUAUAGAGUUGUGCACAAGCAAGACCAAGAAGUGUGCAAACUGCAGGUACAGGCCAAAGAGGGGACAAUGUAAACAACCCGGUGCACGUCUGGUCUGUAAAUAUAACCAAAAUAAGGUUGGUGUCAGCGGAUGGCUCAGCGACAGACUGUUUACAGCAGCAGGGAGCGAAAGACGGCCCAGCGCAGAGCUAGUGGGAGGCUGGUAAAAGCUGGGCUUUUUGUGGUCAUGGCAAGUAGUAGUAGUAACGUGGGGUUGGCAGACGCUUGAUGCAGAGGUUGGCUGCGGGGGUGGCAAGGCUUGAGCCAGCCUGUGGUGGUGUGGUGUGGUUAAUCAGUCUAGGUCAUCUACACUUCCUCUGGCCUCUGUUCCUGGGAGGAAAAACAGUCUAGUCAAAAUAAUGGAGUCAUUUUGGCUUCGUAUACAUUCUAGCUAGGGAAGACAAAUUUAGCAACAGAAAAGACAAGGAAGGCGCCAAAAAGCAAUGAAGAAAGUGAACAAAAUAUUUGUUCUGUUUUUGCUAUGUCUCAAUUGUUAAAAAGGGUCUUAAAUUCGGAGCUCAACGUCACCGUUGCUGAAUUUAAUGCCUCAUUAAUUUGUAAACUGAAACUGGAUUUUGACACAGGAGCUCUAGUGUGUUGGGCACAUCAUACGCAACAGUAUUUGUUGACUAUUUGGGUGUUCCAGACCCGUUUAAUUCCUGUAUCUGGACUGUAGCCUCACCUCACAUUACUCUGUCAGUGAUAUCAGGCCAAAGGUAUUUACCACCUUUCCUGGCUUGGUACCUGCUAAGAUGCUCACUCACAAGUAGAAAACAUUCUCAGGUACUGUGCCAAGAAUAGAUUUGAAACAACCUUACAUGCUCAUGUUUACUAUGAGCUAAUAUCACUCACGUAUCUCAAUAACAACAACAACAGGUGAAAGGGGCCCCUACAUAGAGAGACACUACAAAUAAGGUAAGCUAUCUAAGUAUAAUUUUACUUAAGGUCACAGCUGUUAGACAAUAAUGUGUGCACAGUGGAUGUAAAAUUUCUACACAGAACUAAUAAAAUGCCGGGUUUUUAUGAUGUAAAAAAAAAGAAGUGAGACCAGCAUAAAUCAUUUCAGUAUUUUUUUCCAACAUUAACAUGAACUAUAGAAAACAAAUCCUAAUCAACUAUGGGGGUCCAUAGUGUUCAAUGCCAUCAUCCCAGAACUCCUCACUCCAACCUCCUCCAGAAGUCAGGCCACAGCAGGUGAGGCUGAGGGAAACUACCACAAUUACACACCCCAUCAGCAUCAUCACCGCACAAUGCUGUAUCCUCUCUCUGCUGCUCUUAUUUCCUCAUACAGAGUACUGCGCCUCAACUCAUCUGUCAAACUCCCAAAGUUUGCAGACGAAAACUCAGUCAUCGACCUCGUCAACAAUAGAGAUGAGUCAGACCGAUACUGGACCUGAGGGGACUCAAAGAUCAUCUGAUGGUAUUACCACGCCACAUGCUAACAACAGUCAGAGGGAGCGGUUCACAUCCAUCGAUCGAAAGGACGCCUCCUCUUACACUUCUACACAGACCGUUUAUCCAUUUUGCCUACAGAGGCCAUCACUGGCAGUUCUGUGUGCUCCCUUUCAGGCUGUUCCUCGCCACAAGGGUCUUCACCCGAUUUCUGAAAGCUGCUCUUGCACCGAUAAAAUGUGGGGACAUGAAGGUGUUGCAGGACCUAGACAACAGACUAAUCUACACACCGUCACAGGCUCAGAUGGUUCAGGAUACUUCUGCUUUCUCAUGUGGCCCAGUUAAGCAUGAGAGUCGAUUGAACCUUGAGCCACUGCGAGGCAGUCACCGCAGAUGCCAGUCUAGCAGGGUGGGGUGCUGAUUGGCAACGGAGGAUAGCUGUCUGUGUGGGACAGGGCCAAUCAUAGCAAUGCUGUGGCGGUGUGCAGUGCACCUGGCUCUCAUGCACUUUCACCUGAAAGGGAGGCAUGUGCUUGUGCUUCCGGACAGCACUGCAACUGUUUUCCACAGAAACCAGCAGGACGGUAUGAAGUCCAUCUGGCUUUUACAAGUCUCCCAGCACCUUCUCUGGUGGGCUGCCCCCCAUUUAGCCAGUCUACAGGCCAUACAUCUGCCAGGGGAUCUGAUCCAACUUGCGGAGUCUCUCUCCCAACAGGGUCCUCCUCCAGCAGCCACAACUAACGGAGACAACUUCCUUGUAUGUUUCAACAUACCGGUACUUGGCCAAAAAAGGUGAUUCUGAUUAUUUUGAUUCUCGGCAUUACCGUUGGUGUGCCCUUUUUUCUUGUCUUUACAAUUGCAGUCUUUACUGUGUUCCAGGCAGUGGUAUCAAAUCCAGCUCCAGAAAAUAAAAACCUUCCCACAGUUUAAUUUUGCACAACCGGCAGGAAAAGAAGCUACCCAGGAGCUCCUUUACUUAACCUGGAUGACUGAGAAUCUACACAGAAAGUUUAAGAAACACUUUUCUCUCCUGAACCUGAAGUCAGCAAAGCUUCACACAAUUAUGGAUUGUGUUGGCAUGGAUGUGAGUGGGUAGAGGAUGUCAAGAGAGGAAUAAAUUAGAAACAUCUGCUUAGGCACGAGGGAUCAUUUAGCAGAAUUCCACGCAACUUGUGUGAAGGGAUCUUCUGUCUUCAUCUGCCUCCUGUUUUUUCUUCAUUUUAACAAACAUUUACUGUGAGGUGUGAGAUAAAGGGUCAGGAACAAGAAGCGUGAAAAUUGGCAACAGAGACAUCUGUUGGAAAACAAAUUAAAUUUCUUUUUCCCAGUCUUCUUACUCUUUCUUUUAGUUCGUUGUCUCUAAUCUGAUUUGAAUAUCUAAACAUCUCACACACUGUGUUGAUACUUUUUUUUCUCCACUAACAUUAUAUCACCUGAUGAAACUUGGUAGUGGUUAUCCGACACAAUUUGUAGUUUAGUUUACACUUCUUUCUUCUCUUGAAACUAUGUAAACUGACUAAAGUAACUACCGUAACUAGCUAACUAACUUCCACAGUGCCAGUUACCGCUAUGUUUUAAUUUUAUGAGACUAUUAUCUAUUCUGUGAUUAAUUUAGGUUACAUAAUCUUUAAAACAACUUUUUUUUUGGUCUUCCUCAAUGAAUCAUUCAGGAAAGGUCUUAAGUUAGGUAACAGUAAUGUGGCUGAAUGUGUCUGGACCUGGGGGCGGUUCCUCAAAAUAACAUCAUUUCUUUUGACUUGGUCUUGUUUUGUCCACAUUUUGAACUUGCGUCAUGGACACAUUCGUCCCCUGUAUUUUUGUCAAUUCUUAUUGUUUUCUUAUUUUAUACUUCCCCCAAUUUCGGUGGAUGAGCCAGUUUUUUCAUGACUUAAUGUCAGCUUUUCUUUUAAGUGAAUGAGUGCGUGAGUAAGUGAGUGAGUGAGUGGAACUGACACGGAUGUACCACUCACUGAAAAUGACAACUAAGGAGACUGGCUUUUGAAUAGAUUUUAGAAUAUAUUUUAGAGGAAGGACUGUGUAAACAAUUUAUGGCAUACACUGUAAGUAUUAACAAUCUAACAGUAAAAAAGGUUUCUUUAUGUAUCCAUGACCACUUUCAUCGCGUAUCUGCAGACACUUGAGAUUAAAGUUAAAAACUCAAGUAAACACUACAAAAUUUUUUUUACGAUGUUCGUCAGGAUACUGUGGCUUCUCCCUUAACUCAAAACAUAAGUUCUCCUACCCGAAAAUAGAAGUGAGUGGAAAUCCAUGGAACAGUGCUCUGUCACUAGUUUCCCAUUCAUGUGGAUUGCUGUCUCCCUAACAGAACUUGGAGCCAGACUCCCACUCAAUCUGGCUUCCAGUGACGCACGAUGAUAUUGAAUCAUUUCGAGUCCCCACAUUGGAGUGGUAAGAAUGGCAUAAAAAAAACAACAACAACAAAAAACUUGCAUUUCCUGUUAAAUGAUUGCUGACAGAGCACUUAUAAUAAUAUCAGCAAGUAAAACUGACAGGACCAGGACUGCGGUUCUAGCAU